UAUUGAAACACCAGUUCCCGUACGGUCACCGAAGUUAAGCAAUGUCGAGACCCGGUCAGUACCUAGAUGGGUAACCACUUGUGAAUACCAAGUGCUGUAAG
rnacentral:rRNA from 1 species